rnacentral:rRNA from 1 species
CUGCACCUCAAGUGGUCAGGAUGAUUAUUGGGCCUAAAGCAUCCGUAGCCGGCUCUGUAAGUUUUCGGUUAAAUCUGUAUGCUCAACAUACAGGCUGCCGGGAAUACUGCAGCGCUAGGGAGUGGGAGAGGUAGACGGUACUCGGUAGGAAGGGGUAAAAUCCUUUGAUCUAUUGAUGACCACCUGUGGCGAAGGCGGUCUACCAGAACACGUCCGACGGUGAGGGAUGAAAGCUGGGGGAGCAAACCGGAUUAGAUACCCGAGUAGUCC